CACAUCCUAAAUUCUCAAACGCUUGUGGCUAAUGGUGGAAAGUAGAGAUCGCCCUUUUUUAGCUGCCUAAGCCAAAGAAGAGUUUAGAAGAAAGCAAGGAAUGGGAGACGAAGCAAAAGCCAAAUUAAAGAAUACAUUGAGGUAUUUCCAGUGACUUUUAAAUCAAGACUUGAAGAAAGAAAAGGAGCAAGGCACAAGAAGAUCAUACGGAACUGGGUUCCAGGUAGAAGGAACAGCACUUCAAAGGUCCCAAGUCAGGAAAGACUGAAUAUAUUCAAGGCACUGAGAGGAGCCAUAGAGGACAGAGGGCAGCAGAUGAGUGAAUGACGGCUGUGCAGCGAGGACGAGAAGGUCAGAGGGAAGCAGAUCACCUAGGAUUUUGUAGACCAUGAUGAAACAAUAAAAAAGCUUGUUUGGGGCAAUGAAGAGGUGAAAGCACACGUGAGUAAGCAAGAAAAUUGACCUAGAGGAAGUGAUCAAUCUAAACAGCAGAGAAGUAGUGCUUCUGGAAAAACCCUAAUCACACUCAUUCGCUUUGCAGUAAUGAAGUGGAAAAGGCACCUUAUCAAGACAAGGUCGGAUAUUAUUCAAUUUUUUUAUAAUUAAAAACUUGCUUCCAAGAGUACAAUAUGCCAACGGGAAUUAGAUAUUUUGAAAAUACAGUCUCUUGCAGUCGACUUUCUUUCUCUAAGUCUUAUCUGACUAGCAAUACAAUAGUGUAAAACUGCUGUCUAAUUUAAUUCAUGCUUAAAGGAACUGAUUAUUUCCUUAAGAUUAUUGAAUUCAUUUAGCAUUAUUAGAUUCUGUUCUCCAUUUACGCAAAUGAAAUAGGACCUUAAAUGGAAAUAAGUACAAAUGAAAUAUGACCCUAAAUGGAAUUUAUCAUGAUCACCAUAUUGUAACUUAAGGAAAAAGGGAAAUCUCUAUUUAGAUGUUUUUUCACAAUUAUCAUGCCAUGUAUAAGUAAUUUUUUCCACCAAAAACGAAAAAAACAAUUCACAAAGUUUAUCCAAAAAGGCGAACCGGUGGCAGUAACUUUGAUGUUUUUAUUUUACAAUUAAAUAUGACAGUUGGAAUGGGGAAACUUCUGAAGCCUCCUCUGGUCCACCUGCUCUUGAUGUCACACGUGGCAGCUGUCCCUGCAUUGUUCUGAGUCACAUUUAGGCUACCGCUGCUGCUGCUGCUGAUGAUACUGAUGCACCAGACUGCUGAGGCUCAUCUUUCUUCUGCAACAUCUCUUCUGAGCUAGGCUCCUGCACCCACUGCUUUGAUCCACCUUGUGAAGGGUACAGUUUUAUUAGGUUUGUUUCCAAGUUGUGCGUUUACUGAUGACAUGGUGGGGUUGGUUUGAUUUCCAUAACAGCCAUGAUCACUGCCGUCCUUCUUGAACCCUGGGGACCCCCACAAAGUCCUUGUCGCACUUGUUCAUCCACUGGGUUAAAGAUCCUCCUAAAGCUAUAAAAGGCUUCCUCAUAAUUUGCCUUUUGUUUUGCCACUCCUAGCCCCUCUUUAUACAACUUGCCUAAAUAUCUGAACCCCAAUAUUGUACGUACUAUAAAUUUUUUUCCCAGAAAGAUUCUGAGCCCCUAUCAUUGGAUUUAAAUAAACAUCAGGACAGGAAAGGUCAGAUAAUUCCAUCAGUAAAACAUAUCUGAACUCCAUCUCCCACCAAGAAAGCACUCCUGGUACUUCAGUAGUUUUUGGUUUUUUAAAUUAGAAUAGCCAACCACAUAAUUUGGGGUCCUAAAACAAAGUGUACAACUGCAGUAUUCUUGAAGUGAUCAAGAAUCAUGAAACAUAAAAAUCUCAUAGCCAAGAGCACAUUAGACACUGAUCUGUUUCUUUAGAUUGAGGUCGUAUUUUAAUGGAAGCAUACUUGGUUAAAGAUGAAGUGACCCUUUAUUGAUUUGUUUAAUGAAAUAUUCUGUUUCCAUAUAAUGAGGACAACAGCAUUUGUCUAAUAUCUAUCUAGAGGGGUAUCUAUCUAACACCUAAAUGUCUACCUAAUAUCUAAAUGGAGGGAUUUCCCUUCUUCCUUAAGUUACACUAAUUGUGAUUGUAUUAAUUUCCACUCAAGGUCAUAUUUCAUUUGUAGUUAUUGUACUUAUUUCCCUUUAAGGUCAUAUUUCAUUUGCAUAAAUGGAAAACAAAAUCUAAUAAUGCUAAAUGAAUUUGGUAAUCUUUAGGAAGUAACCAGUUCCUUUAAAUAUAAACACACUAUAUUCAUUCCUUCUCUAUUAAAUUAUACUCUUUUAUUCUCCAGCAUGAUAGAAAAUAAUAGGAUAAAUUAGUACAUGUAUUUGUUACUGCUCUUAAGGUAAAAUUUUAAAAUCCUUUAUCUAGUUUAUGAGAAUCUGGCCCCAGUUUAUCUCUCAAGCUGGAUUUUCUUCCUCUUUCUCCUAACUAUAAGUACUAAAGCCAAACCAGACUUCUUUCAGCUCCUUCAACACUGUGAUUUUGCUUAGCUCCCAGCCUUUGCCUAGCCUCUUUCCUCCACCCAGAAUGUUCUUAUCCAACCCCAUCUUCACCCAGCACUCUUGUCCUUUCUUCAAGACUUAGCUUAAAUAUCACACCAUCAAAGGUCCCCAUCCUCCACCCAGCUGCUACAACCAGAUUAAGUGCCCGCAUUACAAACUCCUCAGACCAACAUUUAACUUGACCACCACCAUUGACCAACACUUAACACAGUCUCUGGCACAUGGUAGGUGCUCAAUGAAUAAUUAUUGAGCUGUAAUAAACAUUUCUGUAGUGUAAUAUCAAUAUGGUUUGUUAGGCUAGAGGUGAAAGCAUAUUUAUUACCCAAUUUCAAUUACAUAGCACAAAUAAUCUUUGAUCCCAAACAUCUCCUUCAAUCAAAAACUUUAUGAUUUUAAAAAAUAUGCUGGUGACAGUUCAUUUCACGCGUCCACUUGGUUAGGCUACAGUGCCCAGUUGUUUGGUCAACUGGUCUAGCUGUAAAGGUAUUUUGUAAAUGUGACUAACCUUCACAAUCAGUUGACUUUAAGUAAAAGAGAUUAUCUUCAAUAAUGUAGAUGGGCCUCCUUCAAUAAGUUGAAGACCUUAAGAGCAAAAACUGAGAUUUUGGAUAAGGAGGGAUUCUGCAAGAUUAACAUAGAAAUCCUGCCUGAAUUUCUAGUCUACCAGCCUGCCUUACAGUUUUCAGACUCAAAACUGCAACAUCAACUCUUACCCGAGCUUCCAGUUUUCCAGCCUGCUGAAACCCAUAAAUGCAUAGAUAAACAAAUGAAUGAAUAAACGCUAAGUCCAUGUGAAAAUUUAUCUAUAAUUCUUUUUUUUUUUUGUAAGAUUGGCACCUGAGCUAACAACUUCUUCUUCUUUUUGUUUUUUCUUUCUUUCUGCUUUUUCUCCCCAAAUUCCCCCAGUGCACAGUUGUAUAUUUCAGUUGUGGGUCCUUCUAGUUGUGGUACAUAGGACGCUGCCCCAACACGGCCUGACGAGCAGUGCCAUGUCUGCACCCAGGAUCCGAACCAGCCAAACCCUGGGCCACCGCAGUGGAGUGCUCGAACUUAACCACUGGGUCACGGGGCCGGCCUCCUGUAAUUCUUUUUAAAUAAUAGCAUUAGCUCAAUCACAUAUCAGUAUCAAUUGGUGUUAUAUAUUUCUGUAAGAUGUCCUGGAAAGUAGUAAAAGAGUAAAGAAUAUCUACUUUCUAUCUAGCUACCUAUCAUCUAUCUAUCUAUCUAUCUAUCUAUCUACCCUUCCUAUGAUCUUUUAGGGUAAUAUAUAACAUUGACCAAAGUAGAAUAUAUUACUUAACUCAGUGUGACUCCCAAAUCUGAAAAUAUAUUUUGAAUUGCAACCCUUUGCGCUCAUCAUACGAUAAAUUUUAAGGUUUACUGCAUUGUUUUAAUAUUUUAUUGCUAUCUUUCUCCUUAAUAUGUAUGAUAUUUGUGUACAACUGGCAAAAAUUAUAGUCUUCAUUCAUGUUAGUAAAUUUUGGCUGACUCACCAUUCUAGAGAACUCAUAAAAACAACUUCAUUAACAUAUGGUAUAUAGAAUUUCUUUACUCUGUUGUUAAUAUUUCCUUUGAAGCUUUUAAAAUUCAGUGGUACCAAGUGUAACACCACUAUAUUUCAAUCUUAUCUAGUUUUUUGAGGUUCUGAAAAGAAGCUGACAACCACAAAAUGAAUUCUGCUUUACUCAUAUACAGCAUAGCAUGGGGUGGGGGUGUCCUACCUGGAGUCAAUUAUUCUGUGAGAAGUAAAGCCUGAGAAUUUCCAAAUUGCUGUUGUUAUUGGAGACUUUUUAACUUUUUGUUAUGAAAAAUAGUAUUUUCAAUAUCCAAUAUUGAACUAGCCAUUUCAAACAUAUAAAAUUCAACUUAAUAGUAUAAUGAUACUCAUCUUCUCAUCACCCACUUCCAACAUUAUCUGCUCAAAGACAAUCUUGUUUCAUCUAUACCCCGACACAUUCCCCACACCCACGUUAUUUUGAAGCAAGCCCAGACAUUAUAUAGUUUUAUUCUGCAGUGUCUUAGUAUGUAUCUCUAAAAGAUAAGAACUCCGGAAAUAAAAUAG
ensembl:lncRNA